CUCAUCCCCCCACGCCUCUAACAAAACCUAUAGCCUGGACGUUACACACUUUACCUAAUCACACAACCAUCUCUGAUGGUCCUGCUCAUGAGAAUGGACCCUGGGUGAGGGCUACUCAGUGAGAGGGCAGGGCCACCCUCAGCUGGAGGAGAUGGGGGCCUCUUUGAAGACUCUGGAGUUGAACUGAACUGGACGGGCUCCACUUGGAGCAGUGACCCCUCACCCAAGGUCUGCCAACCCAGGAAUCUGCUGCCUGGCUCCCUUCUCCAAGAGAAUACGCACAUCCCUGAACUCCUGUUACAGUGUGAAACCGUGAUAGAAGAAGAGGCA
rnacentral:lncRNA from 1 species